AUUGUAAAAGGAACAAAAUCGACCUGACUCAGACAAGACCAUUUUUAUGUUUCCACUCAGGAUCCCCACUUCUUGCUGAACUAGUGACCCACUUCUCUUUUCCACUUCCCAUGUGAUUUCACUCUGCGUCAUUGAUGAAAGCUUUGGAGAACCUUCAGGACUCUCACAAUGAUA
rnacentral:lncRNA from 11 species